rnacentral:rRNA from 1 species
AUUGAACGCUGGCGGCAUGCUUUACACAUGCAAGUCGAACGGUAACAGGGUGCUUGCACCGCUGACGAGUGGCGAACGGGUGAGUAUGCGUCGGAACGUGCCGAGUAGUGGGGGAUAACGCAGCGAAAGUUGUGCUAAUACCGCAUACAUACUGAGGUAGAAAGUGGGGGACCUUCGGGCCUCACGCUAUUCGAGCUGCCGGCGUCUGAUUAGCUAGUAGGUGAGGUAAAGGCUCACCUAGGCGACGAUCAGUAGCGGGUCUGAGAGGAUGAUCCGCCACACUGGGACUGAGACACGGCCCAGACUCCUACGGGAGGCAGCAGUGGGGAAUUUUGGACAAUGGGCGAAAGCCUGAUCCAGCCAUGCCGCGUGUCUGAAGAAGGCCUUCGGGUUGUAAAGGACUUUUGUCAGGGAGGAAAUCCCUAGUGCUAAUAACACUGGGGGAUGACAGUACCUGAAGAAUAAGCACCGGCUAACUACGUGCCAGCAGCCGCCGUAA